rnacentral:lncRNA from 1 species
GCCUAAACAAACUAGUGUAUUUUUUUUAUUUCUAGAUUUAUUUUUUUAAAAAACGGCAACAAAAUUCGUAUGCGUCAUCAUGAUGUCAGUAUGAUGUCAUCAAGCUAGCAAUUGCAUUUGGAACCGGCAAUGGCUGUUGCUAAGCAUAAUGCACCGACUCUAAGGAUCAAAAGGAGAUGAUGGAGAUCUUACCUAAGUGUUUAUCAUGUAUAUGGAGAGCUCGAGGUGUCCAGCAAUUUAGAACGACAUGAAGCUCGACACUAAUAGAUCACGUAACACGUCGUACAGGCUUUAUUGCAACUGGCUGGAGAAUUUGACGAAAGGUCCAUAAUCCAUGGCUGAGCAAAACGAGAACAUAGGGACGUAGCGUAGGCAUCGGCGAUGUUGAGGUCAGACGUUGGAGACAGUACGUAGAGAAAGGAGGAAAAAUAAAUUUACUACUUGGGAAUUCUCAAACUAGAGGCUCCCCAUAUGAUAGUUUUUUAGUGUGCUUUGCCUAAGGUGUUGUUAUAUAUAUAUAUAUAUAUAGUAAGAAAAACUCUUCACAUCU